rnacentral:rRNA from 1 species
GGGUUGUGAGGUUAAGCGACUAAGCGUACACGGUGGAUGCCCUGGCAGUCAGAGGCGAUGAAGGACGUGCUAAUCUGCGAUAAGCGUCGGUAAGGUGAUAUGAACCGUUAUAACCGGCGAUUUCCGAAUGGGGAAACCCAGUGUGAUUCGUCACACUAUCAUUAACUGAAUCCAUAGGUUAAUGAGGCGAACCGGGGGAACUGAAACAUCUAAGUACCCCGAGGAAAAGAAAUCAACCGAGAUUCCCCCAGUAGCGGCGAGCGAACGGGGAGCAGCCCAGAGCCUGAAUCAGUGUGUGUGUUAGUGGAAGCGUCUGGAAAGGCGUGCGAUACAGGGUGACAGCCCCGUACACAAAAAUGCACAUAUUGUGAGCUCGAUGAGUAGGGCGGGACACGUGGUAUCCUGUCUGAAUAUGGGGGGACCAUCCUCCAAGGCUAAAUACUCCUGACUGACCGAUAGUGAACCAGUACCGUGAGGGAAAGGCGAAAAGAACCCCGGCGAGGGGAGUGAAAAAGAACCUGAAACCGUGUACGUACAAGCAGUGGGAGCACGCUUAGGCGUGUGACUGCGUACCUUUUGUAUAAUGGGUCAGCGACUUAUAUUCUGUAGCAAGGUUAACCGAAUAGGGGAGCCGAAGGGAAAC